rnacentral:tRNA from 1 species
UGGCGCGCCCGGGAGGAUUCGAACCUCCGACCCCCUGAUUCGUAGUCAGGUACUCUAUCCAGCUGAGCUACGGGCGC